rnacentral:rRNA from 1 species
UCCGGGGGGGGCAAGCGUUGUUCGGAAUUACUGGGCGUAAAGGGCGCGUAGGCGGCCUGUUAAGUCGGACGUGAAAUCCCUCGGCUCAACCGGGGAACUGCGUCCGAUACUGGCGGGCUUGAAUUCGGGAGAGGGAUGUGGAAUUCCAGGUGUAGCGGUGAAAUGCGUAGAUAUCUGGAGGAACACCGGUGGCGAAGGCGGCAUCCUGGACCGACAUUGACGCUGAGGCGCGAAAGCCAGGGGAGCAAACGGG